rnacentral:lncRNA from 1 species
AAAACAUUUAGCUUUAUUUCUUUUCACAUUUUUUUUUUUCAGAUUGCUAAUAUAAAGAGUCAACUUUUGAACCUUAAGCCAUUUUUAGACCAGCCCUAAAAGAAGCAAUAAGAACAACUAAAUCACUUCAUGGGCCAUUUUGUUUUUCUCCAUCCUAGGUGUCUUGAUAAUCAUCUGUAUAAUCCUCUUUUUCUUCUCUUCCCCUUCCUCAACCUAUUGUACUCAUUUGUUAAAUGAGAAAGCUAGUGUGAUAUUUCUAUCCAUGUAAUAGAAAGUUUAUAUAAUAGAUUUAUAAUUAUCUGUUGAUAUAUAGCUUAUAAUUUCUAUAUAAUAGAAAUUAUAUAAUAACAGUUUCUGUACUUACAGACUGUACACUCAGUAAUGAUAAAGAACAAAAAUUCUACCCACUCUACUGAACCAAAUGAGGGUAUGAGCAAUUGUCUGUAGUCACGGCAUUCACAACCAUUGCAGUUUUUAGUUUGAAAUGUUUUUAUGAAAAUUAUGUACCCCAUUAUGACAGGUAAAAGUAAUGAGACUGUUAAAACUGCAAGUAGGAAAAUACAUAUGACUAUCAGAGAAAAGAGAUGUGAAAUAAUUUUAAGUGCUGAGAGAAGUG